rnacentral:rRNA from 1 species
GACGAACGCUGGCGGCGUGCUUAACACAUGCAAGUCGAACGGAAAGGCCCUGAUUUCGUGGGGUGCUCGAGUGGCGAACGGGUGAGUAACACGUGUGUAACCUGCCCUUGAUUUUGGGAUAACUUCAGGAAACUGGGGCUAAUACCGGAUCGGAGCUCCUGCAGCCUGGUGGGGGUUGGAACGUUUCGGCGGUCGGGGUUGGACUCGCGGCUUAUCAGCUAGUUGGUGGGGUAGUGGCUUACCAAGGCUUUGACGGGUAGCCGGCCUGAGAGGGUGACCGGCCACAUUGGUACUGAGGUACGGCCCAGCCUCCAACAGGAGGCAGCAGUCGGGAAUAUGACACAGUGGGCGGAAGCCUGAUGAGGCAACGCCGCGGGCGGGAUGACGGCCUGCUGGUUGUAAACCGCUUUCGCCUGAGACGAAGCUUGAGUGACGGUAAUGAGAAAAGAAGCACCGGCUAACUACGUG